GCAUGACUAGAUUAUGAAAGAUUUAUCGCUUAUGGAUGGACUCGCGUCAGAUUAGAUAGUUGGUGAGGUAACGGCUCACCAAGUCAACGAUCUGUAGCCGAACUGAGAGGUUGAUCGGCCGCAUUGGGACUGAGACACGGCCCAGACUCCUACGGGAGGCAGCAGUGGGGAAUAUUGCGCAAUGGGGGCAACCCUGACGCAGCAACGCCGCGUGCAGGAAGAAGGUCUUCGGAUUGUAAACUGUUGUCGCAAGGGAAGAAGACAGUGACGGUACCUUGUGAGAAAGUCACGGCUAACUACGUGCCAGCAGCCGCGGUAAUACGUAGGUGACAAGCGUUGUCCGGAUUUACUGGGUGUAAAGGGCGCGUAGGCGGACUGUCAAGUCAGUCGUGAAAUACCGGGGCUUAACCCCGGGGCUGCGAUUGAAACUGACAGCCUUGAGUAUCGGAGAGGAAAGCGGAAUUCCUAGUGUAGCGGUGAAAUGCGUAGAUAUUAGGAGGAACACCAGUGGCGAAGGCGGCUUUCUGGACGACAACUGACGCUGAGGCGCGAAAGUGUGGGGAGCAAACAGGAUUAGAUACCCUGGUAGUCCACACCGUA
rnacentral:rRNA from 1 species